AACGCAUAUGGCACCCGAGACCUCGGUCGAGGGUAUGUCUGCCUCAGAGUCGGCGUAAAACAUCCCUCAGGGUAAGCGUGCAAGCGCUGGGCCCACGAGGGGAGCUGGCCUUCCCACUGGGUACCUCCGGGUACCGCUAAUGUGGGUCUGCCGAAAGAUAGACACAAGGGACCGGUGGGUAACCUACCACUGGACAACCACGAUUUGGUGGGAGGACUCUCUGUCCGCAUCAUCGUCGUGUGUCCUUGGAAGGUCCGCCGAGAUCUUUCCUUGCCUUACAGGAAAAAAUAACAUAAGUUUCGACCUGAGUUCAGGCAAGAUCACCCGCUGAACUUAA
rnacentral:misc_RNA from 1 species